rnacentral:lncRNA from 1 species
UUGCAUUGCGGAGGAGGACGAGGUGCGCUGAGGCUACCACGUUCUGCUCACUGUGAACCACCCUAGUCUAUAUUUUUCCCAAUUUUCCUCCUUUUCCCGAUAAGGGCGAGGCUUGGCGGACUGGGAGAAGAGUCAGCAGCCAUUACAGCACCCUGAAACCAACAAACAAACACACAAACUAUAAAGAACAGCUGAGAUUAGUGAGCCGAGUGAGCUGAAGUGAGACGAGCCCAAAGGAACUCUAACCAGCAGUGAGAUUAGGGCACCAAAGACACUGCAACACCACUAAUCUCACUUGCCACCACCACUGCUUGAGAUUAGUGAGGUGGUGAGACGAGAAUUGUGAGAUUGGUGGUGUGGGAUGCCUGAGAUCACCACCACCACUGCUACCACCACCAUCACCACCGCCACCACCAGCUCUGUCUAAUCUCGUUUUAUAAAGACUGAUCACACACACACACACACACACACACACACACACACACA